AUUGAACGCUGGCGGCAGGCUUAACACAUGCAAGUCGAGCGGGGGAAGGUAGCUUGCUACCGGACCUAGCGGCGGACGGGUGAGUAAUGCUUAGGAAUCUGCCUAUUAGUGGGGGACAACAUCACGAAAGGGAUGCUAAUACCGCAUACGUCCUACGGGAGAAAGCAGGGGAUCUUCGGACCUUGCGCUAAUAGAUGCGCCUAAGUCGGAUUAGCUAGUCGGUGGGGUAAAGGCCUACCAAGGCGACGAUCUGUAGCGGGUCUGAGAGGAUGAUCCGCCACACUGGGACUGAGACACGGCCAGACUCCUACGGGAGGCAGCAGUGGGGAAUAUUGGACAACGGGGGGAACCCUGAUCCAGCCAUGCCGCGUGUGUGAAGAAGGCCUUAUGGUUGUAAAGCACUUUAAGCGAGGAGGAGGCUACUUUAGUUAAUACCUAGAGAUAGUGGACGUUACUCGCAGAAUAAGCACCGGCUAACUCUGUGCCAGCCGCCGCCGUAA
rnacentral:rRNA from 1 species